rnacentral:rRNA from 1 species
GACGAACCGUGCGAACGUUAUUCGGAAUCACUGGGCUUAAAGGGCGCGUAGGCGGGUCCGCAAGUCAGGGGUGAAAUCCCACGGCCCAACCGUGGAAGUGCCUCUGAUACUGCGGGCCUCGAGGGGGGUAGGGGCGUGCGGAACUCAGGGUGGAGCGGUGAAAUGCGUAGAUAUCUGGAGGAAUACCGGUGGCGAAGGCGGCAUCCUGGACCGACAUUGACGCUGAACGGCGAAAGCUAGGGGAGCAAACGGG